GCCGAUGUGGCGGAAUUGGUAGACGCGACGGAUUCAAAAUCCGUUUUCUUCGGAAGUGCUGGUUCGAGUCCAGUCAUCGGUACCA
rnacentral:tRNA from 5 species